rnacentral:rRNA from 1 species
CCUACGGGAGGCAGCAGUGGGGAAUAUUGCACAAUGGGGGAAACCCUGAUGCAGCAACGCCGCGUGGGUGAAGGAGCGUUUCGGCGCGUAAAGCCCUGUCAGCGGGGAAGAAGUAAGACGGUACCCGACCAAGAAGCCCCGGCUAACUACGUGCCAGCAGCCGCGGUAAUACGUAGGGGGCGAGCGUUAUCCGGAUUUACUGGGUGUAAAGGGAGCGUAGACGGCGAGGUAAGCCUGAAGUGGAAGCCGGCGGCCCAACCGCGGAACUGCUUUGGGAACUGUUUGGCUGGAGUAAUGGAGGGGUAAGCGGAAUUCCCAGUGUAGCGGUGAAAUGCGUAGAUAUCGGGAGGAACACCAGUGGCGAAGGCGGCCUACUGGACAAUAACUGACGUUGAGGCGCGAAAGCGUGGGGAGCGAACAGGAUUAGAUACCCCUGUAGUC